rnacentral:rRNA from 1 species
AGCGAACGCUGGCGGCAGGCUUAACACAUGCAAGUCGAACGGUCCUUCGGGAUAGUGGCGGACGGGUGAGUAACACGUGGGAACGUACCCCUAGGUUCGGAACAACACAGGGAAACUUGUGCUAAUACCGGAUAAGCCCUUCGGGGGAAAGAUUUAUCGCCUUUGGAGCGGCCCGCGUCUGAUUAGCUUGUUGGUGGGGUAAUGGCUCACCAAGGCUACGAUCAGUAGCUGGUCUGAGAGGAUGGCCAGCCACACUGGGACUGAGACACGGCCCAGACUCCUACGGGAGGCAGCAGUGGGGAAUCUUGCGCAAUGGGCGAAAGCCUGACGCAGCCAUGCCGCGUGGAUGAUGAAGGUCUUAGGAUUGUAAAAUCCUUUCACCGGGGACGAUAAUGACGGUACCCGGAGAAGAAGCCCCGGCUAACUUCGUGCCAGCCGCCGCAGUAA